UACGUAGGGGGCGAGCGUUGUCCGGAUUUAUUGGGCGUAAAGAGCGUGUAGGCGGCCAGAUAGGUCCGUUGUGAAAACUGGAGGCUUAACCUCCAGCUGUCGAUGGAAACCAUCUGGCUAGAGUCCGGAAGAGGAGAGUGGAAUUCCUGGUGUAGCGGUGAAAUGCGCAGAUAUCAGGAAGAACACCCGUGGCGAAGGCGGCUCUCUGGGACGGUACUGACGCUGAGACGCGAAAGCGUGGGGAGCGAACAGG
rnacentral:rRNA from 1 species